GCCGAAGUAAUGCUUCCAGCAGAAGCAUGCUACUACCACACUUCCAAAAUAAAGAAUUAAAAAAAUAGUUUAUUUUACAUUAUUCUAACAUAAUGUUUUCUAAUUCAAGAAAAAGCAUAUAUAGAUCAUCCGGUAAUGAAUAUUAAAAACACAAGCAAACGACAUGGUCCAUACAAAGAUGAUUGAAAUUUUGCAAAAACUAUACCCAUU
rnacentral:misc_RNA from 1 species